UAAAAAACGAUGAAAAGAAGAGUACUGUUUUUAGAAAAUUGAUGAGAGAGUCUCGGUAGCUGAAAAGAGAUAAUUUGAAAAAAUAGGAAGAUGGUCUUUUAGUGAAUAUUGGUCAACACUGCACAGCCAAUAUUGGGAACGCCCAUUACAGCGUCAAGGUAUAGAUGCAUGAUCUGUACCUACAGAGGAAAAUCUUGUAAGAGAUUUUUGAAUUAAAGGUGGUAACACGCUCAGUCGUCCUUUAC
rnacentral:ncRNA from 1 species